AUUGACCGAUAGCGGGAUGCCUUACACAUGCAAGUCGAACGGAGUGGCGAACGGGUGAGAAAUGUAUCGGAACGUGCCCAGUAGCGGGGGAUAACUACGCGAAAGCGUAGCUAAUACCGCAUACUCUUGGAGCGGCAGAUAUAGGAUUAGCGAGUUGGUGGGGUAACGGCUCACCAAGGCGACGAUCCGUAGCUGGUUUGAGAGGACGACCAGCCACACUGUGACUGAGACACGGCCCAGAUGCCGACGGGAGGCAGCAGUGGGGAAUUUUGGACAAGGGGGGAAACCCUGAUCCAGCCACCCCGCGUGUGCGAUGAAGGCCUUCGGGUUGUAAAGCAAUUUUGGCAGGAAAGCGGUACCUGCAGAAUAAGCACCGGCUAACUACGUGCCAGCAGCCGCGGUAAUAC
rnacentral:rRNA from 1 species